AUUUUUCCGCAUUUUGACCAGGCUCAAGUGUAGUAUUUAUUCUAAUCAAUUUAAUAUCUGAUUUGUUCUUUAAACGGGAGCGUUAUAUCAAGCAGAUUUUUUAGAGCUGGGAGAGGGAUUUGCUCUUUCGGCUCCAUAUACCCGCCUGAUGUUGCAGUACCUCUAUCUUUGUUUUAGGAAAAGUUUUU